AACGGAGGGAGUGAGCGUUGUUCGGAAUUACUGGGCGUAAAGGGCGCGUAGGCGGUCGUGUAAGUCGGAGGUGAAAGCCCACGGCUCAACCGUGGAAUUGCCUUCGAAACUGCGCGACUUGAGUACGGAAGAGGAGAGCGGAAUUCCCAGUGUAGCGGUGAAAUGCGUAGAUAUUGGGAGGAACACCGGUGGCGAAGGCGGCUCUCUGGUCCGAAACUGACGCUGAGGCGCGAAAGCUAGGGGAGCAAACGGGAUUAGAUACCCCUGUA
rnacentral:rRNA from 1 species